CAGCCGCCGCGGUAAUACGUAGGGGGCGAGCGUUGUCCGGAAUUACUGGGCGUAAAGGGCGUGUAGGCGGCCUGUUAAGUCAGGGGUGAAAGACCGGGGCUCAACCCCGGGGGUGCCUCUGAAACUGGCGGGCUUGAGUGCUCUAGAGGGCAGUGGAAUUCCCGGUGUAGCAGUGAAAUGCGUAGAGAUCGGGAGGAACACCAGUGGCGAAGGCGGCUGCCUGGGGAGUCACUGACGCUGAGGCGCGAAAGCUAGGGGAGCAAACAGGAUUAGAUACCCUGGUAGUCCUAGCCGUAAACGAUGAGCGCUAUGUGUGAGGGGUAUCGACCCCCCUCGUGCAGUAGCUAACGCAUUAAGCGCUCCGCCUGGGGAGUACGGCCGCAAGGUUGAAACUUAAAGGAAUUAGGCGGG
rnacentral:rRNA from 1 species